rnacentral:rRNA from 1 species
UACGGGGGGGCAAGCGUUGUUCGGAAUUACUGGGCGUAAAGGGCUCGUAGGCGGCCAACUAAGUCAUACGUGAAAUCCCUCGGCUUAACCGGGGAACUGCGUCUGAUACUGGAUGGCUUGAGUUCGGGAGAGGGAUGCGGAAUUCCAGGUGUAGCGGUGAAAUGCGUAGAUAUCUGGAGGAAUACCGGUGGCGAAGGCGGCAUCCUGGACCGACAUUGACGCUGAGGAGCGAAAGCUAGGGGAGCAAACGGG